UGUAGUUUGAWUUCUGGCUCAGGACGAACGCUGGCGGCGUGCUUAACACAUGCAAGUCGAACGAUGAAGCCCUUCGGGGUGGAUUAGUGGCGAACGGGUGAGUAACACGUGGGCAAUCUGCCCUUCACUCUGGGACAAGCCCUGGAAACGGGGUCUAAUACCGGAUACGAGUCCGGGAGGCAUCUCCUGGACUGGAAAGCUCCGGCGGUGAAGGAUGAGCCCGCGGCCUAUCAGCUUGUUGGUGGGGUAAUGGCCUACCAAGGCGACGACGGGUAGCCGGCCUGAGAGGGCGACCGGCCACACUGGGACUGAGACACGGCCCAGACUCCUACGGGAGGCAGCAGUGGGGAAUAUUGCACAAUGGGCGAAAGCCUGAUGCAGCGACGCCGCGUGAGGGAUGACGGCCUUCGGGUUGUAAACCUCUUUCAGCAGGGAAGAAGCGAAAGUGACGGUACCUGCAGAGAGCGCCGRYU
rnacentral:rRNA from 1 species